GAGCACUGGUUGCUUCAUCAAGUAGAAGAAUUACUGGAUUCUUUAUGAUGGCUCUAGCAAUGGCUACUCUCUGCUUUUGUCCACCCGAUAGAAGUGCCCCCUUCUCUCCAAUCUGGAAGCUGCCUUAUGAAGUCAUGAGCAUUGGCGGCAGUGGUUGCAGCAAUUACUUCAUCCAUGGUGGCAUCUGGCUUCCCAAACAUGAUAUUUUCUUUGAUAGAUGUUCCAAACAGUGCGUGCUCUUGACUGACGAGCCCCAUUUUCCCUCUUAUCCAUUUCAACUGUAAGCUUCUUAUGUCUUCACCAUCAAUUCUCACCACACCUUCAUUGGCAUCAUAAAACCUCUGCAAUAAUGCAAUUGCUGUGGAUUUGCCGCUUCCACUCGCACCAACCAAAGCAACAGUUUUCCCUGCUUCAACUCUCAGAUUGAAAUCUCUCAGCACAACUGUUUCUGGACGAGAAGGGUAUGUGAAUUUGACAUGCUCAAAUUCUAGCUUCCCACUCAUGCGUUCUAAUGCAAGUCCUCUUGUGUCUUCAGCAUCAAUGGAUGGUAUCCGAUCAAUCACGUCAAAUAUGCGUGAAGCAGCAACAGAUGCUUCUGUGAAGUACUUGAGGUCAGGAAGCACCACCCCAAGGGAUCUGCAUUACAGCUCACCAAUUAGCAUAAUUACAAAGAACAACUUCAUGUAAAAGCUAAACAUCAGAAAAAGUUUGUAAGGGCUAGCGGUCUCAUAUUGUCAAACCAGUGAAUUGAAACCAUGCUGUGUUUCCAUCUUUUCCUAACUCAAGUGAAGAGAUUGUCGCCGGCGCAUGAUUUACUAAUGAAUAAGAGCUGAUUUUGAAUA